rnacentral:rRNA from 1 species
UGGGGACUCGUGAGAGACUGCCGGGGUCAACUCGGAGGAAGGUGGGGAUGACGUCAAGUCAUCAUGCCCCUUAUGUCCAGGGCUUCACACAUGCUACAAUGGCCGGUACAAAGGGCUGCGAUGCCGCGAGGUUAAGCGAAUCCUUAAAAGCCGGUCUCAGUUCGGAUCGGGGUCUGCAACUCGACCCCGUGAAGUCGGAGUCGCUAGUAAUCGCAGAUCAGCAACGCUGCGGUGAAUACGUUCCCGGGCCUUGUACACACCGCCCGUCGCGUCAUGAAAGUCGGUAACACCCGAAGCCAGUGGCCUAACCCUCGGGAGGGAGCUGUCGAAGGUGGGAUCGG